UAGUUUUCUCCACCCACUACUUAGUGAGAACUCCUUAACUAGAAGACUAACAACUUAAAGCUUUAUCCCUGUGAGUACCAGAAAAGUGAUCUGAGUAUUUAUUAAACAGAGAGAACAAACUGCCUACUUCAGGCAGGGAGGAAGCGUAUGGAAAUUAUAUUAGAACUUCAGCAAAGUGCAGAGCUGCAUAAUACAGAAGCUGGGACUCAAACUGACAGGCUAAUAAGCCAGCUCACUGAAGGGGGCUCUGUGUGGCAGCUCUGAGCUACUGAGUGUUGGACAACUGUAGGCAAAAUGUGAAAUGGAACAGGGCAGAAAAUAACACACUAACUUCAGGCAACUGUUGCUUUCUCAUGGUCUUCAGGGAUUUUACACUGUGUAGCUGGCAAAACAAGUCCCCAUUUAAAUACUAAGCUUACUACCCAAAUGGAAAACUCAGCUGCUGGAAUCCAUAUUGAGGACUUGUAUCAUGGCCAUAAUACUGUGAAGUGCUUGUUCCCUGGAACUCCCAGAGCCCGUUCAGCAUGACACUUUGCUUUGCUGGUGAUGUCACAUGCAGCAAUGACUAUAAUUGGAGAAUGGAACCUGUCUGUGGGGGCAAGGUGUAUGGCUGCCGUUAUGACUUUUCCAAAAAGAUCCUUUUUGUUUCAUAGAUUAGGGAGCCAGACAAGACAAUUUUAGACACACACUUAUUGUGAUAUCCUCAGUGCUUGUUAUCGUAUAUUCUUCAGAGGUCUGCCCACUAUGAUAAAUUGUACAGAGCAAGGAAAAAUUAAAACGGAAAUGAAAAAUGAAGAAGUUGGUUAUACCAGAAAUCAGUGAAGCUGAACCGCUUCCUGAAGAGCACAGAAUUUUCUAUACCAGAUUCUACUUCAGUGGCCAGGACCUUUAUGGCCACUGAUUCUUUUGCUCUGGGUUCUGAAAAAACAUCGUGGAUCCAUCCCUAAAGUAGAAAUGUUAUUUUCCGUCCCGCAAGCAAGGCUAAAGAUUGGAGGAGAAUGAAUGUGAAUCUAAUUCAGGAUUGCGGUCGUGCCAUUAAAAGUUUUCAGCUUCAGAACAAAAUCAUUUGGGAAAUAUCAGUUUUCUUACUCUAUCGACAAUGUUUAAAAGUUGUAGGUGGUUCAAAUGACUUGACUCAAAUAAUGACAAUCUUUGCAUGUCAAUAAUUUCUACAGUUUAAGGAGUGAAAGGUAGUUUUGAGUUUGGAAAAGAAGAAGCUGUUAAUAUCAGCCUGUAGUGGGAUUAAAUGUUGAAUAUGGGGAAGAGGCAAAAAGUAAAUAGAUGCCCAAAACUUAUCCUUGCAGUGAGGAUGGUUUUAAACUGCUGUAUAUCCUAGGGCCCACCUUACUGUAGAUGUAUAAUGGGAAAAUAUUUCAAUUAGAAACCCAUUAACAAGCAUUUAAUCCUUCUUUAAGGCAUUAGAGGAAAUAGAAUAAAACAUUUACUGUACAAAUCUGCUGCAAGCAGACUUUAACCCACUUAUAGACUUAUCCUUCUGAUGUAUUAUACUAUGGCUACUCAUGAAUCAGAAUAGUAAACAUUUUAUUUGUACUCCUUUUUUCCAAAGUUGUGGAAUCUAUUCUAAGAAGUGUCUCGAUCAAUCAGCUGAUAUUAUUGUUUUGAAUGUAUGUGUCUAUAUUGCCUACUUAUUUGAUCUUUUCCAACCCCGACUUGAAAAGGUGGGGUUUUUUAUACAACAGCAACAAAAGUUUUAUUGAAUGUAAUCUUGACAACUAAGUGAUUCAGAUUAUUUGAAGACGAAUUCUACUGGAUCAUAUCGGACUUUUCCUAGUCCCUGAGACCCUAACUUGUGAGGUCUUUUAGCAACAAUCACAAGUCAGGCUCUUGGGACCUAGGCGGAGGGGAACCAGCAGCUUUGGACUUUAUUGAUUGUUUAUCUGCAAUAUUAACAGAACCAAAGGAGAUUUUCUUAUCUGGGGGAAAAUAUUUAUUUCAGAUGUUAAGCACUAGUUUUAUGCUACAAAAAAAAAUGAUGCUAUGUAUUGUACAAUAUUAAGAUUCUACAUAAUUUUGUAUAUUUGGAAACCUAUAUUGAAGUGGAUAACAUGUAACAUUUAGAAUUAAAAUGUAAAUGAAUGACAUAUCUACAUGAAAAAUCAAGUACUGAAGGAUAAAUGCACUGUUUUCAACCAUAUUUUGCUAUUAUGGAUUCUUCUGGUGGAUAAUCAAAACAAAACACAUUUCCAAAUGUAUUGCUAUAAUAUUUAAUGAACUUUUUGAAACUUACAGAUUAUACAUUGAUCUGUGAGGCCUAGCAAAUGGAUUCAUACUGUUGUCUUUGGGGUAAUAAUCUAAGCGUACAAGAAAACUGUUGCUUCUCUUUUCCUGUAAGGCAGUGCAGAGAUUCCUUUAUAUUUGUUACUAUUUCUCUUAAUCUAUAUAAUAAUACAAUAAAGAUUCUCUCAUUUGGUGUAUUAACCCUUACUCUGAAAGAAAAGAGAAAGCUGGUGUCAAAUUCAUAAUCCUGUGUUGAAGUCACUUUGCACACAGAACUACAUACUUUUCAUGUACAUACUGUAUCUCAGCAGAGAAGACAGGAUACCGGGAAUUAAGCUCAAACUUUCAUCUCUUCCCUCACUUUUACUUUUCACUUAUAAAAACAGACUAACUGUUGUGUUGUCCCCAUAUGCUGAAUACUUCAGUGACUUCAACAUGAGAUCUGCCAGGACACAGAUAAUUUGUAAUGUCUAUCACUUCUAAAGUGCUGAGCCAGAACACAGAGAAUUUGACUGUAUUUCUUAAUAUUUUAUAAGUAGUUUGGACCUGAUUAUUUUUUUUUUUCAAUUUCUUGUAUCUAACCCAAGAUGGUACAGCACCCUGUUAUUAGUGUACUAAUGUCACACUUCACUGAUUGAAACAAAUGCUUUACUUAGGGCGAGCAUCUAAACAAUUUGGUCAUUUUGAAACUGAUAUUUUGGCUCCAGUUUAUUUUUUCCACAUAUGUGGGAGGAAUUGUGUUUCAUUGUAACGCUGUUGUUAAAAUAAAUUAUUAUUAAACAUCAGAAUAAUUCAA